rnacentral:lncRNA from 1 species
GCCCAUUUCACUUUCAGCCAUCAUGUUAACUGCUUGUUUGCCUAAUGUAUAAUGAAGGAGCUUAGUAACCGGUGAAGUUAAGAUAUCCUUUAUUAGAAAAGCACCAGCCAAACGCAAGCCAGAGCAUGCCAGGGGUAGCAAGGUAGGAGGCCAGAGAGAAGGGGCUCCCAUGUGCCUUGUCUGUCCCUUUAAACCCUAUCAUGCAUCAUCCUGAUCUUACCUUGACCACAAUAAUGGGCGUGGUUAGGCACACCUGUAGCCAGCUUCUAGCAGGCAUGGCUUACACUAUCCCCUACAACUGUAUUCUUUGACUAAUUUUGUAUGCCUGUGUCCUUUGAAUCUCAGCAUGUCACCUCCUGAGACAUUUAUUCACCUCUGAGCCAAGAAAUAUGACCUCUUUAGAUCCUGACACCUGCCUUUGAACUUUUUGCUUUGAUUUCCUUCCUUCACGACUCAAUAAUCCUGAUUGUAUGUACAGAUCACCCUGUUUAUCCACUCAUCUACAGGUUUUCCUGCAACGAUCUUCCAUUUCAUGGAAUGAAUGCCAGUGAAUGACUAGUCAGGCCCAGAAUAGGAAGUGCUGACUGUUUACGUGGAACAAUGCUUAUGACACAUUGUUGAGUGAUGAAGGAGGAACUCAGGACAACGUGACUCCAGUGAUUGUCAUCAUCCACCUCCGCCAUGUAUAAGAAAGUGGAACUGAGUCAUAUCCUACUGCACCAAGCAGCCCUGGUUGAUGGUUUUAGUACUGUUUAUUUUCUAUUACCACAGCAAUACUGGCUCUUUCACUCACUCCUUGUGGGUCUCUGAGCAAAUAAAUAAACUGUGUUUUAGUUUGGGGGAUUAUAAAGUAUAAAUUUGAGAUGUUGAUUUGUAGUAUGAUAGCUUUGACUAUUUGUGAAACAAAAUGGGCUCAUUAGUGUUUUACCACCAAAAGCGUCAAGGAAAAUCCUCAUAACCAAUAGGUACUUAAGUCAAAUAUACAUGCCAUGUUAUUCAGACUCAAAAUGCCAGUGCCAUAAUUUCUGUGAGUUGGUGCCACAAUGGGUAAGGCCAGGGCAAUGUGAAUGUGCUAUCCAUGGUUCUUGAUGACAGCUAGAUUGCAUAAUCAAACAUCUAUAUUACACUAAGGAUGCAUCAUUCUUAUUCAUAGUGUACUUUUUUCUUUUUUAAUUUUUAUUUUCUUGAUUUUUGGGAAGAUUAUGCUUUUAUUAUUUUUUUCCAUUUUAGAAAUUACUUUUCUUUUUUUACUUUCUGUGUGUGUGUGUUUGGGGGGGUGGUGUGAUAAAGCUUAGAUGGCAUGAAGAUGGAGGCCAGAGUGGGUUUUCUUUUCUCCUAUCAUGUGGGCUCUCCAGGCUUGAAAGUCUUGCCACUCAGUCUCUGAGAGCUUAUGUGUACAAUGGUCUCAUCAUGUCCAACAAAUGCUGCAGACAUCUACUACUUAUGGCUCUACAAUCUUUCUGCCCUCUAGAUGGUUCUACCCAUGAAUGUAAC